GAUGAACGCUGGCGGCGUGCCUAAUACAUGCAAGUCGAGCGAACAGACGAGGAGCUUGCUCCUCUGACGUUAGCGGCGGACGGGUGAGUAACACGUGGAUAACCUACCUAUAAGACUGGGAUAACUUCGGGAGACCGGAGCUAAUACCGGAUAAUAUAUUGAACCGCAUGGUUCAAUAGUGAAAGACGGUUUUGCUGUCACUUAUAGAUGGAUCCGCGCCGCAUUAGCUAGUUGGUAAGGUAACGGCUUACCAAGGCAACGAUGCGUAGCCGACCUGAGAGGGUGAUCGGCCACACUGGAACUGAGACACGGUCCAGACUCCUACGGGAGGCAGCAGUAGGGAAUCUUCCGCAAUGGGCGAAAGCCUGACGGAGCAACGCCGCGUGAGUGAUGAAGGCCUUCGGAUCGUAAAACUCUGUUAUUAGGGAAGAACAAAUGUGUAAGUAACUAUGCACGUCUUGACGGUACCUAAUCAGAAAGCCACGGCUAACUACGUG
rnacentral:rRNA from 1 species